AACGGCCGUAUCAUGCUGAAUAUACCGGUUCUCGUUAGAUCACCGAAGUUAAGCAUCAUUGGGCGCGGUCAGUACUUGGGUGGGUGACCACCUGGGAACACCGCGUGCCGUU
rnacentral:rRNA from 1 species